UAGGGAAUAUUGCUCAAUGGGGGAAACCCUGAAGCAGCAACGCCGCGUGGAGGAUGACACUUUUCGGAGCGUAAACUCCUUUUCUUAGGGAAGAAAUUUGACGGUACCUAAGGAAUAAGCACCGGCUAACUCCGUGCCAGCAGCCGCGGUAAUACGGAGGGUGCAAGCGUUACUCGGAAUCACUGGGCGUAAAGGACGCGUAGGCGGAUUAUCAAGUCUUUUGUGAAAUCUAAUGGCUCAACCAUUAAACUGCUUGAGAAACUGAUAAUCUAGAGUGAGGGAGAGGCAGAUGGAAUUGGUGGUGUAGGGGUAAAAUCCGUAGAGAUCACCAGGAAUACCCAUUGCGAAGGCGAUCUGCUAGAACUCAACUGACGCUAAUGCGUGAAAGCGUGGGGAGCAAACAGG
rnacentral:rRNA from 1 species